rnacentral:rRNA from 1 species
ACGGGUGAGUAACGUCUGGGAAACUGCCCGAUGGAGGGGGAUAACUACUGGAAACGGUAGCUAAUACCGCAUAACGUCGCAAGACCAAAGUGGGGGACCUUCGGGCCUCACACCAUCGGAUGUGCCCAGAUGGGAUUAGCUAGUAGGUGGGGUAAUGGCUCACCUAGGCGACGAUCCCUAGCUGGUCUGAGAGGAUGACCAGCCACACUGGAACUGAGACACGGUCCAGACUCCUACGGGAGGCAGCAGUGGGGAAUAUUGCACAAUGGGCGCAAGCCUGAUGCAGCCAUGCCGCGUGUAUGAAGAAGGCCUUCGGGUUGUAAAGUACUUUCAGCGGGGAGGAAGGCGGUGAAGUUAAUAGCUUCACCGAUUGACGUUACCCGCAGAAGAAGCACCGGCUAACUCCGUGCCAGCAGCCGCGGUAAUACGGAGGGUGCAAGCGUUAAUCGGAAUUACUGGGCGUAAAGCGCACGCAGGCGGUCUGUCAAGUCGGAUGUGAAAUCCCCGGGCUUAACCUGGGAACUGCAUUCGAAACUGGCAGACUGGAGUCUUGUAGAGGGGGGUAGAAUUCCAGGUGUAGC